rnacentral:rRNA from 1 species
UACGUAGGGUGCAAGCGUUAAUCGGAAUUACUGGGCGUAAAGCGUACGCAGGCGGCUUUGCAAGACAGGUGUGAAAUCCCCGGGCCUAACCUGGGAACUGCAUUUGUGACUGCAUAGCUAGAGUUUGUCAGAGGGGGGUGGAAUUCCACGUGUAGCAGUGAAAUGCGUAGAUAUGCGGAGGAACACCGAUGGCGAAGGCAAUCCCCUGGGCCUGCACUGACGCUCAUGUGCGAAAGCGUGGGGAGCAAACAGG